rnacentral:lncRNA from 1 species
UGAAUAAAAUGGCUAAGGCUCAACGGGGCUUAUGAAGGGAAACAUACAGAUAGGGGAAGCAAGAAAGGCCCUGGCUAACAAACAACUUGCCUUAGUGUGUGUUGUCAUGCUGUGAAGUGUCAAAAGGACAUACGCAAAAUCAGAGUGGUAAAGUCAUACCUGGCUGAACUCUCAUGCUGAUGUUUAGUGUCUGGCUUUUUGUAAUCUCACCAUGUUGGUUAGCUUUACAAGCUCUGAAGCCUCC